GCAAAAUUCUGUAUGAUUAAACUAAAGAUAAAUAUUGUUGGAUUCAAUAAUCGCUCUAUUGUUGAUUCAAAAAGAUUUUAUUGUUGUUUCUACUAUAAUACCUGAUUGGAAUAACAAUAUUAUUUUAAUUUCAACAAUAUUUCUUUUUGUUCCAAAUAUGCUUAAAUGUCAAGUGGCGUGUUCUUUUUUAUGUGUAAAAAUUGAUCAUAACAAUUGAACAAUAUAUUUUGUGAGGCUGUUUUGUUGGUUCCUUAGAAGGAUGAAGCCUGUGAAUCCAUUAAUUGCAGGAGUAUUCCGGCUCGCUAUCAAGAAAAAACGUGUAUCUAAAGAACAACAGAAUGGCGAGCGCUGAUAAAACUUUCAUCGUCAGCAUGGUUUAUUCGGGACGGGAAAAUCAGAGCUUUCUCUCAUUCAGGAUUGCCAUCGGAAGCAUAUUCUAUAUUAAUAAUAAUUAUGUAAAUAUAAUUUGCUAAUGAUAAAAUAAAAUAUCAACC